rnacentral:rRNA from 1 species
AUAACUACUCGAAAGAGUGGCUAAUACCGCAUACGCCCUACGGGGGAAAGGGGGGGAUCGCAAGACCUCUCACUAUUGGAGCGGCCGAUAUCGGAUUAGCUAGUUGGUGGGGUAAAGGCUCACCAAGGCAACGAUCCGUAGCUGGUUUGAGAGGACGACCAGCCACACUGGGACUGAGACACGGCCCAGACUCCUACGGGAGGCAGCAGUGGGGAAUUUUGGACAAUGGGGGAAACCCUGAUCCAGCCAUCCCGCGUGUAUGAUGAAGGCCUUCGGGUUGUAAAGUACUUUUGGCAGAGAAGAAAAGGUAUCUCCUAAUACGAGAUACUGCUGACGGUAUCUGCAGAAUAAGCACCGGCUAACUACGUGCCAGCAGCCGCGGUAAUACGUAGGGUGCAAGCGUUAAUCGGAAUUACUGGGCGUAAAGCGUGUGUAGGCGGUUCGGAAAGAAAGAUGUGAAAUCCCAGGGCUCAACCUUGGAACUGCAUUUUUAACUGCCG